rnacentral:rRNA from 1 species
GGGUUGUGAGGUUAAGCGACUAAGCGUACACGGUGGAUGCCCUGGCAGUCAGAGGCGAUGAAGGACGUGCUAAUCUGCGAUAAGCGUCGGUAAGGUGAUAUGAACCGUUAUAACCGGCGAUUUCCGAAUGGGGAAACCCAGUGUGUUUCGACACACUAUCAUUAACUGAAUCCAUAGGUUAAUGAGGCGAACCGGGGGAACUGAAACAUCUAAGUACCCCGAGGAAAAGAAAUCAACCGAGAUUCCCCCAGUAGCGGCGAGCGAACGGGGAGGAGCCCAGAGCCUGAAUCAGUGUGUGUGUUAGUGGAAGCGUCUGGAAAGGCGCGCGAUACAGGGUGACAGCCCCGUACACAAAAAUGCACAUACUGUGAGCUCGAUGAGUAGGGCGGGACACGUGGUAUCCUGUCUGAAUAUGGGGGGACCAUCCUCCAAGGCUAAAUACUCCUGACUGACCGAUAGUGAACCAGUACCGUGAGGGAAAGGCGAAAAGAACCCCGGCGAGGGGAGUGAAAAAGAACCUGAAACCGUGUACGUACAAGCAGUGGGAGCCUCUUUUAUGGGGUGACUGCGUACCUUUUGUAUAAUGGGUCAGCGACUUAUAUUCUGUAGCAAGGUUAACCGAAUAGGGGAGCCGAAGGGAAACCGAGUCUUAACUGGGCGUUAAGUUGCAGGGUAUAGACCCGAAACCCGGUGAUCUAGCCAUGGGCAGGUUGAAGGUUGGGUAACACUAACUGGAGGACCGAACCGACUAAUGUUGAAAAAUUAGCGGAUGACUUGUGGCUGGGGGUGAAAGGCCAAUCAAACCGGGAGAUAGCUGGUUCUCCCCGAAAGCUAUUUAGGUAGCGCCUCGUGAAUUCAUCUCCGGGGGUAGAGCACUGUUUCGGCAAGGGGGUCAUCCCGACUUACCAACCCGAUGCAAACUGCGAAUACCGGAGAAUGUUAUCACGGGAGACACACGGCGGGUGCUAACGUCCGUCGUGAAGAGGGAAACAACCCAGACCGCCAGCUAAGGUCCCAAAGUCAUGGUUAAGUGGGAAACGAUGUGGGAAGGCCCAGACAGCCAGGAUGUUGGCUUAGAAGCAGCCAUCAUUUAAAGAAAGCGUAAUAGCUCACUGGUCGAGUCGGCCUGCGCGGAAGAUGUAACGGGGCUAAACCAUGCACCGAAGCUGCGGCAGCGACGCUUAUGCGUUGUUGGGUAGGGGAGCGUUCUGUAAGCCUG